AUUGAACGCUGGCGGCAGGCUUAACACAUGCAAGUCGAACGAGUGGCGGACGGGUGAGUAAUGUCUGGGAAACUAGCUUAUGGAGGGGGAUAACUACGGGAAACGGUAGCUAAUACCGCGUACCAUCGGAUGUGCCCAAGUGGGAUUAGGUAGUUGGUGGGGUAACGGCUCACCAAGGCGACGAUCCCUAGCUGGUCUGAGAGGAUGACCAGCCACACUGGAACUGAGACACGGCCCAGACUCCUACGGGAGGCAGCAGUGGGGAAUAUUGCGCAAUGGGCGCAACCCUGACGCAGCCAUGCCGCGUGUAUGAAGAAGGCCUUCGGGUUGUAAAGUUCUUUCAGUGGGGAGGCGUUACCUGCAGAAGAAGCACCGGCUAACUCCGUGCCAGCAGCCGCGGUAAUAC
rnacentral:rRNA from 1 species